CAGUCGCCGCGGUAAUACGGAGGGUGCAAGCGUUGUCCGGAUUUAUUGGGUUUAAAGGGUGCGUAGGCGGCCUAAUAAGUCAGUGGUGAAAGCCUCCAGCUUAACUGGAGAACUGCCAUUGAUACUGUUAGGCUUGAGUAUACUUGAGGUAGGCGGAAUUGACAGUGUAGCGGUGAAAUGCAUAGAUAUUGUCAAGAACACCAAUUGCGAAGGCAGCUUACUAAAUUAUAACUGACGCUGAGGCACGAAAGUGUGGGUAUCAAACAGGAUUAGAUACCCCCGUAGUCCCUGUCUCUUAUAC
rnacentral:rRNA from 1 species